rnacentral:tRNA from 1 species
UUCCUGGUGGCUAAGAGGUUAAAGCGUCUGUCUCCAAUGCAGGAGACCCAGGUUCGACCCCUGGGUUGGGAA